rnacentral:rRNA from 1 species
AUACGUAGGGGGCAAGCGUUAUCCGGAUUUACUGGGUGUAAAGGGAGCGUAGACGGCAUGGCAAGUCUGAUGUGAAAACCCGGGGCUCAACCCCGGGAUUGCAUUGGAAACUGUCAAGCUAGAGUGCAGGAGAGGUAAGUGGAAUUCCUAGUGUAGCGGUGAAAUGCGUAGAUAUUAGGAGGAACACCAGUGGCGAAGGCGGCUUACUGGACUGUAACUGACGUUGAGGCUCGAAAGCGUGGGGAGCAAACAGGAUUAGAUCCCCUGGUAGUCCACGCCGUAAACGAUGAAUACUAGGUGUUGGGAGGAACUAUCCUUUCGGUGCCGCAGCAAACGCAAUAAGUAUUCCACCUGGGGAGUACGUUCGCAAGAAUGAAACUCAAAGGAAUUGACGGGG